rnacentral:rRNA from 1 species
AGAGUUUGAUCCUGGCUCAGGACGAACGCUGGCGGCGUGCCUAAUACAUGCAAGUCGAGCGAAUCGAUGGGAGCUUGCUCCCUGAGAUUAGCGGCGGACGGGUGAGUAACACGUGGGCAACCUGCCUAUAAGACUGGGAUAACUUCGGGAAACCGGAGCUAAUACCGGAUACGUUCUUUUCUCGCAUGAGAGAAGAUGGAAAGACGGUUUACGCUGUCACUUAUAGAUGGGCCCGCGGCGCAUUAGCUAGUUGGUGAGGUAAUGGCUCACCAAGGCGACGAUGCGUAGCCGACCUGAGAGGGUGAUCGGCCACACUGGGACUGAGACACGGCCCAGACUCCUACGGGAGGCAGCAGUAGGGAAUCUUCCGCAAUGGACGAAAGUCUGACGGAGCAACGCCGCGUGAACGAAGAAGGCCUUCGGGUCGUAAAGUUCUGUUGUUAGGGAAGAACAAGUACCAGAGUAACUGCUGGUACCUUGACGGUACCUAACCAGAAAGCCACGGCUAACUACGUGCCAGCAGCCGCGGUAAUACGUAGGUGGCAAGCGUUGUCCGGAAUUAUUGGGCGUAAAGCGCGCGCAGGUGGUUCCUUAAGUCUGAUGUGAAAGCCCACGGCUCAACCGUGGAGGGGUCAUUGGAAA